UUAGAGUUUGAUCCUGGCUCAGGAUGAACGCUAGCGGCAGGCUUAACACAUGCAAGUCGAGGGGCAGCGAGAUCAGUGCUUGCACUGAUUGUCGGCGACCGGCGCACGGGUGCGUAACGCGUAUGCAACCUACCCAUUACAGGGGGAUAACACUGAGAAAUCGGUACUAAUACCCCAUAACAUCCAGGGAGGCAUCUUCUUGGGUUGAAAACUCCGGUGGUAAUGGAUGGGCAUGCGUUGUAUUAGUUAGUUGGUGGGGUAACGGCUCACCAAGACAACGAUACAUAGGGGGACUGAGAGGUUAACCCCCCACAUUGGUACUGAGACACGGACCAAACUCCUACGGGAGGCAGCAGUGAGGAAUAUUGGUCAAUGGACGCAAGUCUGAACCAGCCAUGCCGCGUGCAGGAAGACGGCUCUAUGAGUUGUAAACUGCUUUUGUACGAGGGUAAACGCAGAUACGCGUAUCUGUCUGAAAGUAUCGUACGAAUAAGGAUCGGCUAACUCCGUGCCAGCAGCCGCGGUAAUACGGAGGAUUCAAGCGUUAUCCGGAUUUAUUGGGUUUAAAGGGUGCGUAGGCGGUCGGAUAAGUUAGAGGUGAAAUCCCGGGGCUCAACUUCGGAAUUGCCUCUGAUACUGUUCGGCUAGAGAGUAGUUGCGGUAGGCGGAAUGUAUGGUGUAGCGGUGAAAUGCUUAGAGAUCAUACAGAACACCGAUUGCGAAGGCAGCUUACCAAGCUACUUCUGACGUUGAGGCACGAAAGCGUGGGGAGCAAACAGGAUUAGAUACCCUGGUAGUCCACGCAGUAGACGAUGAUAACUCGUUGUCGGCGAUACAGUGUCGGUGACUAAGCGAAAGCGAUAAGUUAUCCACCUGGGGAGUACGUUCGCAAGAAUGAAACUCAAAGGAAUUGACGGGGGCCCGCACAAGCGGAGGAACAUGUGGUUUAAUUCGAUGAUACGCGAGGAACCUUACCCGGGCUUGAAAGUUAGUGACGGAUCUUGAAAGAGGUCUUCCCUUCGGGGCACGAAACUAGGUGCUGCAUGGUUGUCGUCAGCUCGUGCCGUGAGGUGUCGGGUUAAGUCCCAUAACGAGCGCAACCCCUACCGUUAGUUGCCAGCAGGUCAAGCUGGGCACUCUGACGGGACUGCCGGUGUAAGCCGAGAGGAAGGUGGGGAUGACGUCAAAUCAGCACGGCCCUUACGUCCGGGGCUACACACGUGUUACAAUGGCAGGUACAGAGGGCAGCUACCCAGCGAUGGGAUGCGAAUCUCGAAAGCCUGUCUCAGUUCGGAUUGGAGGCUGAAACCCGCCUCCAUGAAGUUGGAUUCGCUAGUAAUCGCGCAUCAGCCAUGGCGCGGUGAAUACGUUCCCGGGCCUUGCACUCACCGCCCGUCA
rnacentral:rRNA from 1 species